UGUGACGGCAGCCAUGUUGAGAUCUGCUGAGGAAAUACCAAGCACCGCCCACCAGCCGGAGCACAGCCAAUAGGAACGCUCUCUCUCUCUGAAAUGACCUGUGAUUGGUCAAAGUGUCCCGUCAGGGGCUAGAUGUUUUGAAAGCCUGAAAACAGAGCCAUGAGGAGGAGCAGAAGUUUAGUUUUCUCUCAGAACACUUGAAUUACAAUAUGCUGAAAGGUUAUUAUGGAAUUAUUUCCCCAAUGAUG